rnacentral:RNase_MRP_RNA from 1 species
UGCUGGGGGAAAGUCCCCGGACGCUAGGGCAGAGAGUGCCGGCCGGAAACGGCGGAUCCCUCCUGGUGCCCCGUGAGGCCAAGAUGGCGGAUUUCGGUCUGCAGGAGCCACUUUAGCGGGGAUGGGAGCUUUUUUGUCGUAGAAAAGUUAUGCGAACAGCUCGUGCUUUUAGCGCGUAGUGAACUCAACGGGGCUUACUCUUGUC